UACAGAGGUCUCAAGCGUUGUUCGGAAUCACUGGGCGUAAAGGGUGCGUAGGUGGCGUGGUAAGUCAGAUGUGAAAGCCCGGGGCUCAACCUCGGAAUUGCAUCCGAUACUGCCGUGCUAGAGUACUGAGAGGUGACUAGAAUUCUCGGUGUAGCAGUGAAAUGCGUAGGUAUCGAGAGGAAUACCAACGGCGAAGGCAGGUCACUGGGCA
rnacentral:rRNA from 1 species